UACGUAGGGGCCUAGCGUUGUCCGGAUUCAUUGGGCGUAAAGGGUGCGUAGGCGGCGCGGUAAGUCGGGUGUGAAAUCUCGGAGCUUAACUCCGAAACUGCAUUCGAUACUGCCGUGCUUGAGGACUGGAGAGGAGACUGGAAUUUACGGUGUAGCGGUGAAAUGCGUAGAUAUCGUAAGGAAGACCAGUGGCGAAGGCGGGUCUCUGGACAGUUCCUGACGCUGAGGCACGAAGGUCAGGGGAGCAAACAGG
rnacentral:rRNA from 1 species